UACGUAGGGUGCAAGCGUUGUCCGGAAUUAUUGGGCGUAAAGAGCUCGUAGGCGGUUUGUCGCGUCUGCUGUGAAAACCUAGGGCUUAACCCUGGGCCUGCAGUGGAUACGGGCAGACUAGAGGUAGGUAGGGGAGAAUGGAAUUCCCGGUGUAGCGGUGAAAUGCGCAGAUAUCAGGAGGAACACCGGUGGCGAAGGCGGGUCUCUGGGCCGUUACUGACGCUGAGGAGCGAAAGCGUGGGGAGCGAACAGG
rnacentral:rRNA from 1 species